UGUGAUUCGACUUCGACGGUUACAACGGUUUAAAGGCCUUGGUUCAUUUCAAAUGCAAAAGGACGCGUGGCUGAAGUUUAGUAGUUUAACGUUAGGAUAGACGUUGCUUAGUUUUUCUAUAAAUAGAAGUAUGUAUAAUCGAAGUAGGGGUCACAAUUCAUUUACACAAAAUCUCAAACACUCAAAGUAUCCAUGUUAAGGCGAGAAACGAGUUACUCGAGAAAGAUGUAUGAAUCGGUGA
rnacentral:lncRNA from 1 species